CCUGGGGCUGGGAGGAAAGUUAUUUGCAGAGGAGAACAAGAUCAGGACUCUUCCUAACAAAGGCUGAGUAAGAAACUGGGUUUCUGACCUCUCUACCCCAGCAAGCUCAGAGUCCCCUGCCUUUCCUCUGUUCUGGCUCUGUGUGUUUGCAUUACUCACUCUGUGGUUAGAAGUUCAGGCCCACAGACAGAAGGGAUUAGCCUUAUCUCAGAUGAGAUUUUGGACUUGGACUUUUGAAUUAAUCCUUCAAUGACCAUAGUUUAAGAAGAGAUAUCUUGAAAACACGGAAAGAGAAAAGUCAAUACAAUAUUUCCUAAUUUUUUAAGAGGUCAGAGAAGGGAGUUACUGUGUGGCCUGGAGCAGGUGAUUCUGACUACCAAGGGAAAAUUGGAGUACUACUCCACAAUGGAGGGUCUGCAGGAUGGACCCGGCAGCUGGUGCCCUGUGUGAGGAACGCUGCAACGGACUGCGACAGAACCCUCGAAAACGAAGGUGAAGAGACUGUGCAGUCAUGUGACAGACACAUCAAACCAUACCAUGGCGUGGCUAAGACCCAAGCUGGUAUCAAAAAUAAAGGAAACGACGCUGCAGGACCCGCAGCCCCAGACGAUGUGGCUUCCUCCGAUGACACAGGCCCCAGACAUUACCUGGGGGAAGCUGAAGAAGACAACUCAGGAGGCCGAGUGAAUCCUUCUCUGGACACAGACACCAUCACUCCAGAUAAUCUGUUCCUUGCUAUGCUCUCUAUUGUACCUUGCAACUCUCAUAGGGUAUUCACCUUUCUUAUUCUCUCACUUUGCCUGCAACUCAUACCUGCUACAUUCUAUUGGGCCCAUCUUCUAAGAUCUGCCUUUCUUCCAACCUGUUACCUUGGCAGACACCCCCUUCCCAUCCUCUAAUAAUGUAACUGCUUAGCUGGGAGGGGUUGACAUGCCCCCAGUGGGGUUCCUUAAUAAUGGCACACAUUGAACUGAGGUGCCAAGUAACACUACAUAUCUCUCCUUGAUUGGAAAAGAAUAAUAGUGACUAUACUAAUGUUUGACUUAUGUUAUUUACUAAUUCUAGGAUGCAAAGCCGGAACACGAGCUGUAACCGCUGCGCCUGUCAAAUCUGUCACUGCACACAUCUGUACUAUUCAAUCAACAAAACCCGAUGCUAAAAACAGAAAAGGGGGAGACGCGGGAGAUCGGUCAGAGUGGUAGGAGAAGGUAUAGGGAAAGGAACAGACCUUCUGAAAGGCGGGAAGGCUCUGGAUAGCUUCAGGGAUGAAUAAGCUGAAGGCAGCUGUUCUCUUACCCUGAGGCAGAGGGCAAGGGGUAGGUAAGGAAGUAUAGGGGAAUUUGGCAUAAACAGGCUUGUUUACUUACAUUGUCCGGAAACCGACUUUGAUCAUCAGGGCAGGAGACUGCUCCCUGAAAGGGGGAAUAAUAAUGUUAAUUACCCACAGAUUGUGUUGGCUCCAGGCUUUCAUUAUUUUGUCUGUACUGAAUAAAAGCAAGCAGCUCC
rnacentral:lncRNA from 1 species